rnacentral:rRNA from 1 species
UGCGUAGGUGGCCGAUUAAGUCAGUGGUGAAAGCCUACAGCUCAACUGUAGAGGUGCCAUUGAUACUGGUCGGCUUGAGUAUGGACGAGGUAGGCGGAAUUUGUGGUGUAGCGGUGAAAUGCAUAGAUACCACAAAGAACACCAAUAGCGAAGGCAGCUUACUGGACCAUAACUGACACUGAGGUACGAAAGCGUGGGGAGCGAACAGGAUUAGAUACCCUGGUAGUCC